rnacentral:rRNA from 1 species
GAUGAACGCUGGCGGCGUGCUUAACACAUGCAAGUCGAACGAUGAAGCCCAGCUUGCUGGGUGGAUUAGUGGCGAACGGGUGAGUAACACGUGAGUAACCUGCCCUUAACUCUGGGAUAAGCCUGGGAAACUGGGUCUAAUACCGGAUAGGAGCGUCCACCGCAUGGUGGGUGUUGGAAAGAUUUAUCGGUUUUGGAUGGACUCGCGGCCUAUCAGCUUGUUGGUGAGUUAAUGGCUCACCAAGGCGGCGACGGGUAGCCGGCCUGGGAGGGGGACCGGCCACACUGGGACUGAGAGACGGCCCAGAAUCCUACGGGAGGCAGCAGUGGGGAAUAUUGCACAAUGGGCGAAAGCCUGAUGCAGCGACGCCGCGUGAGGGAUGACGGCCUUCGGGUUGUAAACCUCUUUCAGUAGGGAAGAAGCGAAAGUGACGGUACCUGCAGAAGAAGCACCGGCUAACUACGUG